rnacentral:rRNA from 1 species
AAUGGAGGAAACUCUGAACCAGCCAUCCCGCGUGAAGGAUGAAGGGGCUCUGCCUUGUAAACUUCUUUUGAAUGGGACGAAAAAAGGGGAUUUAUCCUCGACUGACGGUACCAUUAGAAUAAGCACCGGCUAACUCCGUGCCAGCAGCCGCGGUAAUACGGAGGGUGCAAGCGUUAUCCGGAAUCACUGGGUUUAAAGGGUGCGUAGGCGGCUAAAUAAGUCAGUGGUGAAAGGCCGUGGCUUAACCAUGGGAUUGCCAUUGAUACUGUAUAGCUUGAAUGAGGAUGAGGUUGGCGGAAUGUGGCAUGUAGCGGUGAAAUGCUUAGAUAUGCCAUGGAACAUCGAUUGCGAAGGCAGCUGACUGGACCUGAAUUGACGCUGAGGCACGAAAGCGUGGGUAGCGAA